AGUGUUUUGGAAUUUAUUGCCAAAAAGGAAGGACUUCAAUUUCCACAGGGUUUUGCAGCCCGCAUUGUGGAAAAGUCAAAUAGGAAUCUGAGAAGGGCAGUUUUAACAUUUGAGUCUUGCCGUGUUCAACAGUAUCCCUUUACAAACAACCAAACUGUACCUCCAAUGGACUGGGAGCAAUAUGUUUCAGAAAUUGCAUCAGACAUAAUGAAAGAGCAGAGCCCUAAAAGGUUAUUUGAGGUAAGAGGAAAGUUAUAUGAGCUUCUAACUAAUUGUAUUCCCCCUGAAAUUAUUUUGAAGAGGCUACUUUUUGAACUAUUAAAGA
rnacentral:misc_RNA from 1 species